GCCACAAUAUUUCUUUUGUUGCUUAGUGUCUUCUCUUUCUGAGCCUGAGAGAGGUUAUUCCAUGUGUCACCAUCUGCGGGGCCAUGCUUUUGCUAAAGAAGUUUUUACCGGAUCUUGUUAGAGAAGAAAGCAUAGCAAGCUUCAAUUCAAAUAUAUAUGUAUCUAUAUACAUUGCUCUGAUUUUCAACAGAAUUCAAUUCAAAUAUAUCCGACACUUUAAUUACCCUCUUUGUUAUUUUGUUAAUCUCUCUUUAUCUUGUAUGUUUAAAGACAAAACACAAUUCUUAACUUACAAAAUACAAUUGUUUUCUGUUACUUAUUUGCAGGCAGCACAGAUCAAAUCUUGGUUUUAUCUUUCUUUUGUUUUCUGUCACUUUGAGGAGGGUCUUUGUUUUUAAUAUGAUAUACCCUUUUGUAAAGUCAAGGACUAAAUAACUCUCUAGUCGUUUAAGGAACUUAAAUCUCUUCAUUCAUAUAUUGUAUAUAUGUAUAAAAAAAUUAUUGAGGAUCAAAUUCAUGAUAAACUAGCUGUAUAUAUCAAAACUGUCACAUCGUGCACUUGGCCUUACAAACUCCAUGUGUGUGCAUUGGACAAAUACAAGUCUUGUGUGUGGAUCCAAAUAUUGUAAUGCUGAAAGCCUUAGAAUCUAUACGUUUCAUCAAGCUUGUCAAAAGUCAUGUUCAAAAAUCCCAUGAAAGGUUGAGAGGACAUGAAAACAUGGUGUAGAUUAUGCCACUUUUUAACGUUAGGAAUGUUCUGUUUUUUUCUAGUGAGCAAUAACAGGUAGUGGUAGAUAUAUAUUAUUGUACUAUAAAAAGUGAUCAUAAAGCUCUUCAUUCGGCAGUCCCUCCCUCAAAGCAAAAUCCACACAUAAUCUCAAUCCCCAAGUGUUUCUUUCCCUAUUUCCAAUGUUUGGUUCUGAUUACUUUGGUUUUUAUAUGAUUCUUUUGAUUUCUUGCUUCAGAUUAAAAACAUUGCUUACCAUGUGUUAAAAGAAGAGACACGAGUGCGCUGUCUCGUGCAAAUAUACUGUAUAUUGAAGCUUUAAACCUAUCCAUUCAAACCAAGGAAUCUUGGGUUUUGCCAAAAUGUGGAUUCCUAGGUCUUAUGUGUAGUCUUAUCUAUAUGGCUUCUUACAAAGUACAUCGAAAGCAUGCAAGGGCCAAAUUAGAACAAUACUAAAAAGACUCAGACAAUCUUCAGUUGGAGUGACACUAUGGAGCCCCUCUUGAAAUUUGGACCCUUUGGGGGGAAUUUCACCUGCAUGGUCAAGAUUGAUUUACAA